UAAACAAACCCGGGCAGGUGAGGCUCGUUAGCCGUGGUAGGCAAUUCACCUAGGAGAGCAAACUCUAAACAAACCCGGGCAGGUGGAGCUCGUUAGCCGUGGGAGGCAAUUCACCUAGGAGAGCAAACUCUAAACAAACCCGGGCAGGUGAGGCUCGUUAGCCGUGGUAGGCAAUUCACCUAGGAGAGCAAACUCUAAACAAACCCGGGCAGGUGAGGCUCGUUAGCCGUGGGAGGCAGUUCACCUAGGAGAGCAAACUCCGAACAACAAACCCGGGCAGGUGGAGGUCGUCAGCCGUGGUAGGCAAUCUUCCUAGGAGAGCAAACUCCGAACAACAAACCCGGGCAGGUGGAGCUCGUCAGCCGUGGUAGGCAAUCUUCCUAGGAGAGCAAACUCCGAACAACAAACCCGGGCAGGUGGAGCUCGUCAGCCGUGGUAGGCAAUCUUCCUAGGAGAGCAAACUCCGAACAAUAAACCCGGGCAGGUGGAGCUCGUCAGCCGUGGUAGGCAGUCUGCCUAGGAGAGCAAACUCCGAACAAUAAACCCGGGCAGGUGGAGCUCGUCAGCCGUGGUAGGCAGUCUGCCUAGGAGAGCAAACUCUAAAUAAACCCGGGCUUGUGGUGCUCGUUAUACUGUCGUAGACAAUCCACGCGAUGGGAACACCAAAGAAAAGGAAGAUAAAAAAGAACACCAGAAAAAUGGAAAAUACAGAAACGAAACAUCAAGAAAAGAAACAAAAAGAUCAUCCACCUUUAGGCCCUAACAUCGCCAAAAUUAUGGGUGGGUCUCUUCUGGGGAGAAAGCGGCUCACCCAGACCAAAGAACAUCAACAAGGGAUGAUAUAGAAAAGAACACCAAAAAAAUAUGGAAAAAGAACAGAAAAAACAUCGAAAAAGAAAAGCAACAGAAAUAAAUGAGCAACAUCGAUAAAAGAGAAAUACAAAGAAACAUCA